rnacentral:rRNA from 1 species
UACGUAGGUGGCAAGCGUUAUCCGGAUUUACUGGGUGUAAAGGGCGUGUAGGCGGGACUGCAAGUCAGAUGUGAAACCCAUGGGCUCAACCCAUGGCCUGCAUUUGAAACUGUAGUUCUUGAGUGAUGGAGAGGCAGGCGGAAUUCCGUGUGUAGCGGUGAAAUGCGUAGAUAUACGGAGGAACGCCGGUGGCGAAAGCGGCUCUCUGGCCUGUAACUGACACUGAGGCUCGAAAGCGUGGGGAGCAAACAGG